rnacentral:tmRNA from 1 species
GGGUCUGAACUGGUAUUGACAGUUUAACCAAAGCUGACCCGCGCAGGUCGAGAGAGAGUCACCUCUCGUAAAUCCAGGCUCAACAACAAAUGUAACUGCGAACAACAUCGUUCCAUUUGCUCGUAAAGCAGCUACAGUUGCUGCGUAACAACCUCUAACAGGUUCGAGCAUCUCUAGUUUGACUCCGUUAAAGACUAGAGAUUUAACCCCAACGGAUGCACUCAGUAACCAUUUCUGGUUGGUGAAAGAGUAAAGACAAUUGCCAGAGAAUCCCACCGUCAGGGAGAAGCGACGGUUCCCGCCUUGAGGAUAAGAAAGGCUAAACCUGUGAACGAGCGGUAAGUGAAUAACUAAGCUGGACAGGAGUUCGACUCUCCUCAGAUCCACUG